rnacentral:rRNA from 1 species
UACAGAGGGGGCAAGCGUUGUUCGGAAUUACUGGGCGUAAAGGGCGCGUAGGCGGCCUUCUAAGUCGAACGUGAAAUCCCCGGGCUCAACCCGGGAACUGCGUCCGAUACUGGAAGGCUUGAAUCCGGGAGAGGGAUGUGGAAUUCCAGGUGUAGCGGUGAAAUGCGCAGAUAUCAGGAGGAACACCAACGGCGAAGGCAGCUCUCUGGGACGUUACUGACGCUGAGACGCGAAAGCGUGGGGAGCAAACAGG